rnacentral:lncRNA from 1 species
GGUUCUUCAUGUGGUAAUUGAUAGAUAGUGGAAUCUAGGGUCAGAACAUGGCAUAAUACGAAUAGAACCCUCCUGAGAAAGAGGGGCGACAGGUUUCAAGUGUCCUUAUUACAUCAACUGAAACUAGUAAGAUCCACUUCCCCCUCAAACCAUUCAAAACCUUGGUGAGGGCGACGGUUAACAUCAUAGUCACACACACGUUCCGGUAUAUGCGCUGCUUUCGGAACCUCUCGCUCCAAGUGAAGUUCUUGUGCUCGGGAGGUUCAUUGUCAAAAUAAGUAUCCAUCCUAUAAUGAAUGAAAUGACAUAUCAAGGUUUAAUUACGUAUCAGUUGAGGAUCUUCUGGAAUUGAAUGGGACGGUGAUAGAAUUUAGUGAAAACUUAUAGAAAUAAUCAUAACCUGCAAUUUUUAAAUAGACCACAUUAAAAACAUGAUAAAAUUUGACGAAUAAAUAUGUUAACCAGAUUAAAUCAUCAUAGACUUCAUGAACUAAAACAGAUGUAAGAGCAGGAGCUGGAAAAGUGACAAGUGGAAGGGAGGGAAUCGAAGAUGUAGUAAAUGACGACAUUGGUACCUGUUGCGUAGAUAUUGAAUAAG